rnacentral:rRNA from 1 species
GGUUAAGUGACUAAGCGUACACGGUGGAUGCCUUGGCAGUCAGAGGCGAUGAAAGACGUAGUAACUUGCGAUAAGCCCAGAUUAGGUAGUAACAACCAUUUGAGUCUGGGAUUUCUGAAUGGGGAAACCCACGUGCAUAAGCACGUAUCCUUACCUGAAUACAUAGGGUAAGGAGGCGAACCGGGGGAACUGAAACAUCUAAGUACCCCGAGGAAAAGAAAUCAACCGAGAUUCCGAAAGUAGCGGCGAGCGAAAUUGGACUAGCCCUUAAGCUUUACACGCGUUAGACGAACGGUCUGGAAAGUCCGACGAUACAGGGUGAUAGUCCCGUAGUUGACGACGUGUGUUCAGUGAAAUCGAGUAGGGCGGGACACGUGAUAUCCUGUCUGAAUAUGGGGGGACCAUCCUCCAAGGCUAAAUACUACUGACUGACCGAUAGUGAACCAGUACCGUGAGGGAAAGGCGAAAAGAACCCCUGUGAGGGGAGUGAAAUAGAACCUGAAACCGUGUACGUACAAGCAGUAGGAGCAGGCUUGUCCUGUGACUGCGUACCUUUUGUAUAAUGGGUCAGCGACUUAUAUUCAGUGGCAAGGUUAACCAUCUAGGGGAGCCGUAGGGAAACCGAGUCUUAACUGGGCGUUCAGUCUCUGGAUAUAGACCCGAAACCAGGUGAUCUAGCCAUGGGCAGGUUGAAGGUUGAGUAACAUCAACUGGAGGACCGAACCGACUAAUGUUGAAAAAUUAGCGGAUGACUUGUGGCUAGGGGUGAAAGGCCAAUCAAACCUGGAGAUAGCUGGUUCUCCCCGAAAGCUAUUUAGGUAGCGCCUCGGACGAAUACUACUGGGGGUAGAGCACUGUUAAGGCUAGGGGGUCAUCCCGACUUACCAACCCUUUGCAAACUCCGAAUACCAGUAAGUACUAUCCGGGAGACACACGGCGGGUGCUAACGUCCGUCGUGGAGAGGGAAACAACCCAGACCGCCAGCUAAGGUCCCAAAUUACUACUAAGUGGGAAACGAUGUGGGAAGGCUCAGACAGCCAGGAUGUUGGCUUAGAAGCAGCCAUCAUUUAAAGAAAGCGUAAUAGCUCACUGGUCGAGUCGGCCUGCGCGGAAGAUGUAACGGGGCUAAGUAGUAAACCGAAGCUGCGGCAAUAUACUUUUGUAUAUUGGGUAGGGGAGCGUUCUGUAAGCGGUUGAAGGUGUGUGGUAACGCAUGCUGGACGUAUCAGAAGUGCGAAUGCUGACAUGAGUAACGAUAAAGGGGGUGAAAAACCUCCUCGCCGGAAGACCAAGGGUUCCUGUCCAACGUUAAUCGGGGCAGGGUAAGUCGACCCCUAAGGCGAGGCCGAAAGGCGUAGUCGAUGGGAAACGGGUUAAUAUUCCCGUACUUCUUACAAUUGCGAUGGGGGGACGGAGAAGGCUAGGUGGGCCUGGCGACGGUUGUCCAGGUUCAAGUGCGUAGGCUUAAGAGUUAGGUAAAUCCGGCUCUUUUUAAGGCUGAGACACGACGUCGAGCACCUACGGGUGUGAAGUCAUUGAUGCCAUGCUUCCAGGAAAAGCCUCUAAGCUUCAGAUUGUAAGGAAUCGUACCCCAAACCGACACAGGUGGUCGGGUAGAGAAUACCAAGGCGCUUGAGAGAACUCGGGUGAAGGAACUAGGCAAAAUGGUACCGUAACUUCGGGAGAAGGUACGCUCUUGAUGGUGAAGUCCCUUGCGGAUGGAGCUGACGAGAGUCGCAGAUACCAGGUGGCUGCAACUGUUUAUUAAAAACACAGCACUGUGCAAAAUCGUAAGAUGACGUAUACGGUGUGACGCCUGCCCGGUGCCGGAAGGUUAAUUGAUGGGGUUAGACUUCGGUCGAAGCUCUUGAUCGAAGCCCCGGUAAACGGCGGCCGUAACUAUAACGGUCCUAAGGUAGCGAAAUUCCUUGUCGGGUAAGUUCCGACCUGCACGAAUGGCGUAAUGAUGGCCACGCUGUCUCCACCCGAGACUCAGUGAAAUUGAAAUCGCUGUGAAGAUGCAGUGUACCCGCGGCUAGACGGAAAGACCCCGUGAACCUUUACUACAGCUUGGCACUGAACAUUGACCCUACAUGUGUAGGAUAGGUGGGAGGCUUUGAAGCAAGUACGCCAGUAUUUGUGGAGCCGUCCUUGAAAUACCACCCUUGUAGUGUUGAUGUUCUAACGUCGACCCCUAAUCGGGGUUGCGGACAGUGCCUGGUGGGUAGUUUGACUGGGGCGGUCUCCUCCCAAAGAGUAACGGAGGAGCACGAAGGUGGGCUAAUCACGGUUGGACAUCGUGAGGUUAGUGCAAUGGCAUAAGCCCGCUUGACUGCGAGAAUGACAAUUCGAGCAGGUGCGAAAGCAGGUCAUAGUGAUCCGGUGGUUCUGAAUGGAAGGGCCAUCGCUCAACGGAUAAAAGGUACUCCGGGGAUAACAGGCUGAUACCGCCCAAGAGUUCAUAUCGACGGCGGUGUUUGGCACCUCGAUGUCGGCUCAUCACAUCCUGGGGCUGAAGUCGGUCCCAAGGGUAUGGCUGUUCGCCAUUUAAAGUGGUACGCGAGCUGGGUUUAGAACGUCGUGAGACAGUUCGGUCCCUAUCUGCCGUGGGCGUUGGAAGAUUGAAGGGGGCUGCUCCUAGUACGAGAGGACCGGAGUGGACGAACCUCUGGUGUUCGGGUUGUGUCGCCAGACGCAUUGCCCGGUAGCUAAGUUCGGAAUCGAUAACCGCUGAAAGCAUCUAAGCGGGAAGCGAGCCCUGAGAUGAGUCUUCCCUGAUACUUUAAGUAUCCUAAAGGGUUGUCGGAGACUACGACGUUGAUAGGUCAGGUGUGUAAGUGCUGUGAGGCAUUGAGCUAACUGAUACUAAUUGCCCGUGAGGCUUAACCAU